UUGGUGGAUCACCAAGCCAGCCUACCAUGUGGUCUUGCUGCUUCAUGUAUGAUAUCCAUGAUCUCCAAUGCCAACAAACUGAGCAAGUAUUUCAUUUGUCUAGUCAAUCAAGGAAAGUCAAUUGAUGAUCAGGCAUGACAAGCUAACAACACAGUUCUUCUCAAACAAUGAUAGGCCUGGUCUUAGCUGAGAUAACUAAAGUGGUAUCAUGUAGGUCAUCGACUUAACAUAAGUGGUCACUGGCUCCAACAUGAACUCC
rnacentral:lncRNA from 1 species